rnacentral:rRNA from 1 species
UACGUAGGUGGCAAGCGUUGUCCGGAUUUAUUGGGCGUAAAGCGCGCGCAGGCGGUCUUUUAAGUCUGAUGUGAAAUCCCGAGGCUCAACCUCGGAACUGCGUCUGAAACUACUCGACUAGAGUACUGGAGAGGGUAACGGAAUUCACGGUGUAGCAGUGAAAUGCGUAGAUAUCGUGAGGAACACCAGAGGCGAAGGCGGUUACCUGGACAGUUACUGACGCUCAGGCACGAAAGCAUGGGGAGCAAAAGGG